AUUGAACGCUGGCGGCAGGCUUAACACAUGCAAGUCGAGCGGUAACAGGAAGAAGCUUGCUUCUUUGCUGACGAGCGGCGGACGGGUGAGUAAUGCCUAGGAAUCUGCCUAGUAGUGGUGGAUAACUUGCCGAAAGGUAAGCUAAUACCGCAUACGUCCUACGGGAGAAAGGAGGGGACUCUUCGGAGCCUUUCGCUAUUAGAUGAGCCUAGGUCGGAUUAGUUAGUUGGUGAGGUAAUGGCUCACCAAGACCGCGAUCCGUAACUGGUCUGAGAGGAUGAUCAGUCACACUGGAACUGAGACACGGUCCAGACUCCUACGGGAGGCAGCAGUGGGGAAUAUUGGACAAUGGGGGAAACCCUGAUCCAGCCAUGCCGCGUGUGUGAAGAAGGUCUUAGGAUUGUAAAGCACUUUAAGUUGGGAGGAAGAGCAGUUAACUAAUAUUUGACUGUUUUGACGUUACCGACAGAAUAAGCACCGGCUAACUUCGUGCCAG
rnacentral:rRNA from 1 species